rnacentral:lncRNA from 1 species
AACAUUUUCAAGGUUCAGUCACAUUGUGGAAUUCAUCAGUUUGAUAGUUAACUGUUGUGUCAACUUGAGUUGCCCAACUGAUCCGCUUAACAUAGUUCUGAGUGUGACUGAAUGGAUUUACUGAAGAUGAAAGACCCACCAUAGGUGUGAGUAGCACCAACCAAUAGGCUUAUACCUGAGUGGAAUAAAAAAGGGAAAGAAGGACAGCUCACUUCUGUUUCAUUGGGGAAGCUCCAGUUUUUGCCUUUGGACAUCAUCUCCUGGUUUCCAGUACAGACUCUUCAGCCUUGCAGUGCAGACUCUGGCUUCCUGAUAUGGACUGGCAUGGGACUCUACAGUGAGCACCAGGCCUUCAACCUUUGACAGUCCUUUUGUACUCUUCCACACUUGACUCCACGGGCAGCCGUUAUGGGGAGUCUGGCAUGGCUCAGCUGAAUCUUUUGCUGAGCACAAGGCUGAAACCAGUCUUUGCUGGUCUGAGUUUCUGACUUCAGGAAACAUCUGGGGCCCUCUUCUGAAAAGCUUUCCUCAUAAAUACAGGGUUACCCUUACAACUAACUAAGCCAAUGUUUUAAAGACUUAAUUAAUCUGCAAAACCUCUUCGCCUUGCCCUACUCUCAAACUCAAUAUUCUAUUACCUUUGCCAUAUUCUAGUGUUUAGAAGCAAGCCACAGGUCCUACCAAAACUCAAGGGGAAGGAAUUACACAAGAGCACAGUGCAUCAUCUGUGACUUCUGCCUACCACAAUGCUUGUAGGUCAAUUUCAUUUUUAUCCUCAGGUUCUCCGUCUGUAAGAUAAUAUGCCGAACUAGAAGAUUUCUAAAUUCUUUUUAAACUCUAAGCUGGAUGAUGAUCAUUAGUACUAACAUUAAUAUUAUUCUUGUUAAUUUACAUUAAUGUCAAUAAUAUUAAUGAAACCACACAUUAACUGACCUCUGUAGAAUGUUACUUAGUAUAUGCCAAGGAAUGCUCUAAGCAUUUUACAGGAAUUGUCUCUUUUCAUCCUCACAGUAGUUCAAGAGAUAGAAUGUGUUUUCAUCCUAAAUUCCUCUAGAAAAUGAAAACAUUUUCUGCAUCUAUACUGUCCAAUGUGGGAGUUACUAGGCACAUAUGACUAUUUAAGUUACAAUUAAAUUAAAUUAAAUUAAAACUUCAGUUCCUCAGUCAAGCAGGAAGUACAAUGAAGCAACAUCAUUAUAGAGGUUAAGUAGCAUAUCUAAGAUUACAUGUGGAUCAUACAUGAUUCUCAGACUGAGUUUUUGGACUAGUGCUGAAUUUCAUGCAUGAACCCAGUUGUCGAAAGAGAAAGAACUUAAGAGAGGAAGAAACAUUAAGUUCUUUCCAUGUAAAGCUCUGUAGUGUUUCAAAAAAGUCAGAGGUAGCCACCAGCAAAUGACCUCAAGUGAGCAGACAUUUAAUGAGAUCACGUUAGCGCCAGGCACUGUUUCACUUUGUGUUACCAGGGACACAGUGAUGAGUGUCUCCAGAGAGCUGUAGUUUUCUAUGGGAAGCUGGACACAUAUACUUAUUACAAAGCAGCAAAAAACUGAUAUCCUAAAAGAGAUUCAAGCAACCAGUCUGAGGGCCGUAAGAACCCAACCAGGGGUGUCCCUACAAUACACACAUCAAUGUCUUGUUGUUCUGGUCAUUUAAACACUCCUUGGUCCUUCGAACAGUCCUAGACAAUGUGAACAGUGCCAGGAAAAAACAUACAAACUGUUGUUGCAGGACCCUGCUUUGACAUUGGCUGACAUCUAGUUAACCUCACAAUAAUAAAGCCACAUAGACACACAGUGCGGAAGCAGCUAACAGUCUCAAUGAAAAAUUAGGUUUUCCAUUUCUAACUUUCAGGGGUUAUUCAAAGUGUGAGAGAAGUGAGGGGAGUGGGGGAAAGACAUUCACGAAAAUUGAUGAGGAGCAUUUGGGCUGGAGCCUUUUGGAAUCUGCUCCCAGGCUGGCCCAGCCUGCCCCUGGUGCCUUUGAAGUGAGUUACCUGGAUGGUGAGCUAAGCCAUGCCUGGCAGAACAGGCAGGAGGCUGUGUGGUCUGGCAAAGAACUGAGUAGAGGGAAGAGGGACUGAGCCUAAGUCUGCGGCUGACUCACAACACUUCUCAUGCCAGCAUUUCACCAUGUGGUCCAGCUAGAAAAUUAGAAGAAGCCCAAGUUAGGAUCACACCAAGAAAUCCAAAUGUCCUUCAGGGGCAUAAACAAGGCAGCCCUCCUGCUCUCUUAGGCCUCUUUCUCUGUGUGCGUUCCUCUUUUAGCCUUGAGACUAUUUGUCUUCUUCCUUUCCUCAUGAGUGCUCUUCAGGGCUUGAGUUUGGUCUCUGCCAUUUGUCACUGUGGCCAGGUACAAGUGGUCAGAGUGCAUAGGGCCCUACCGUCUGCUACUCCAGGCUGUCUUUUACCUUUCCUUUUAAGUUCAAGUGAAAUCUGGGUUUCUGCUGUGUUUGGAGUGGUGUGUCUGAGUGGGCCUUUACCGCUCUUCCUUGACAACAAAAAAGUCAGGGGAAGAGAGAAGAAUAAAAAAUGCUUUUGAUCUGGCAAGGGCCUUGCAAGGGCUCUAGUUCUGUCUGUUGCUGGAGCAACAGCGGGGAUUUUUAAAAAAUAGGUACUUUUGGUACAGGAAUAAAGAACAACAACAACAACAACAACAAAUCACCCCUUUAAAGUGAGUACUUUUCUCUGGCCUUGGAUUCUAUCCCCCUCACCCCCAGGUUCUCAGGCCAGACUUCUCCCACUUUUCUACCAUUGUAUCCUUCCUAUUGACUCAGGAAAAAAGGUUCAUUUUCCUCCUUCUGUGAUCUUCCUCUCCUUCUUUGUUUGGGGUGCAUUUCUUUUAAUUCCAUUAUCAGAGGAAGAACCUUGGUCCAUGGUGAGGUCUUCCUGAAAACAUAAUGGGCAGGAGUCAUAGAGACAGGACUUGGACCAGAGUGUCUUCACCAAUUGGCUGAGUGACCUUGAUGAGUUACUGUUUUGAGCCUUAGUUUCAUUCAUGUGUCAAAUGAAAAUAAUUUCAUCUACUGCAUGAGUCACUUUCCCAUUGCUAGAACAAAAUACCAGCUACCUAAAACUUAAAAGAGAAAUUUAUUUGGGUUAUAGUUUCCAGUGGGUUCAAUCCAAGGUCAUCUGGCUCCAAGGCAGAAAGAGUAUGGUGGAAGGGCCUGGCAGAGAACAGGUGCUCAACCUGUGGCAGCUAGGAAACAGAGACAAGGGAGGAGCCAGGAACAAGAAUAUGCUCUUCCAAGUCAUGCCAUCUGUGACCCACCUACAACCAUAUCCCACCUCUUAGAACAACUACUGAACUCAUCAAUGGACAAAUCCACUGAUGAGCCUAGUGCUCCGGUGAUCCAAAUACCUUCCCAACACAUGAGACUUUGGGGGUACAUUUUGGAUCUAAACCUCCUGUACAGGUUUGGAGUGAUCAGGAAAGAGAACAAUAUAAAUCAAAUUAUUAGCAUAUUGAUCAGUAAAUGGACAUGGGCUUCUGAUCUGGAGUUCCAAUUCUUCCUAUGCAUCUUAGAGACCUGCGAGCAUGCCAUUAAAGUUACCCUUGGCUUCUCUUAAUGCAUUCAUUUUCCCCUUCUGUAUCAGAUAUGUAUCAGACAUAUUAAUGAUUGCCUGUCCUGCCACUGUUUAUGGGUAAUGAGUCUCAGUGUCUUGAACCCUCCUUGCCAUUUGCAGUGAUGGUUCAGUGUUGGACACGUGAUCCCAUGAGGUUCUACCCGUGGGUGAAGCUGGGCCAAUUAGAUUCUCUCUUUCACAAGUGGAAAUAAAAGGCACAGAAGAAAGGACCACUUGGGAUGGUUGUGGGCAUUGAGAAUCUUUAGGAGGCUGGCAUAUUGGGACAAGAACAAGAUGAACAAAUAUUCAGUAGCAAGCAAGGAGGAUGGGACCUAAUAACCUGGAGCUCAGUGAGAUUGGCCGUGGUUCAGAAAAGCUUUGGCCCACAACACCUUCUUCAUGAUCCUGAGACAUUCCUGGCCUGGCUCCCUUUCAAAAACCCCUCUCUGCACUUGAGCUAGCUAGAGAUUGUUUCUGUUCUUUGCGCUGGAAAGAGCCUUUAUUAGAACAUUUUCAUGGACCAUCUGAUUUUGAGUGCUGCCAGGCUAUCAUGAAAAGCCUCUUCAUCUCCCACCUUGAAGAGUAUUAGGACACAAAAUCUUCAUGGGAUGUUGACUCUGUAGAAUGCUACCUGAAAAGAAUCCACUCUCUUGUCAAGUUUCAUGCUAGAUACUUUUCAUGAUUAGAAAAUUCCAAUGGUGUCAGACAUUUUUCUCCUUUUGCUCAGUUUGAACUCUUUCCAUUGUUCUUUUUGUUUUCUCAGGGAGCUUUGUAGCUCCAUCUUCUUUCUCUAAGUUGAUUGAGUUCUAGGAUAUCAGAGAUCUUUUCUCCUGCUCCUAAAGAUUCUGAGUGUUUUAAGGCAGAAUCCCCGGAGACCUCCACAAUUUGAUUGGAAAGCUUUAAACCAUAUCUUGCUUUUCAGAGACGACUGUCAUUUUGGGUUUCUCCUCCAUCCUUUUGAGAAUUCACUAUGCAGUCACAGACAUCAUCUCUUGGUACAUGACACAAUACCUGGCUGGUGAAGUGAGCCAUUCUAUCCACCUAGAGACAGAAGCCCAGAGAAAGGCUGGCUGGCAGUAUGAGUGUCAGAGGCAAGUCAGCUUUGGAAACCUGGGGAGAAUUCCACCUUUCUCCACUAUGCCAGGCUCACUGCCAAGCUGCUGCUAGAGACCCAAGCUCUGGGUAGAGCUCAUUUCAGCAUGAGUCAGAAACAUGAGGGAGUCUUGUUCACACAUGCCUAGCAAGGGAAAAGCCCCAAGGGAGGUGCUUCCAGGGUCCCAAUCAGGGACUUGGGAGAUCUUUUCUCCUCUCUAGGAGGAGAGAGAGUCUACCAACUGGCAGGGUAUGCUAUCUCCAGGCUAUCUGCAGGAGAAAGGAUUUAGAGAUGUUCUGAGACCCUCUUUCCAUGGCCAUAGUCAGUCUCCACAGAGUACAGGCUAGGGAGCAUUCAUAACAGGGGAAAAACAUUCCUCUAGACCUUUAGCAGCAGAUUGGCUAAGACAACACUUCCACCAUUGGAAUUUUUCUGUGAGGUUACCUUAGAAGGCAGAAAGAGUAAUCUGAGCCACUUAUUUGAUAUCUUUUAGCACCUAUGGAGUCAACUUUGUAUACAAACCAAUACUUUCAGUGGUUCCUUAACUCAAAUUUCCUCUCCCAGGAUUUCAGUGGAGGAAGAACUUGGAAUGGGCAAGAUAACCUGAAAAGCCAAAGCUCUUUGAUAUUUUGUGAAUUUUGUGCAUCCCCAUCUCCCUGUCCUUUGAGUCAGAGACCACAUUCUUGAGUGAGAACAGGGUCCAGGCAGAUGAUGAAAGGCCUGAAAAGAGCCUGCUAAUUCUUUUUUUUUUGGUACCGGGGAUCAAACUCGGGUCCUUGCACUUGCACAGCAGGCGGUGGAACCACUGAGCUAAAUCCCCAGCCAAGAGCCUGCUGAUUCUUAGAUCCUCAGCCCUGGAUAAUUUUCAGAUGACUAAAUGAAAAUAAAAAAAUUCACAAUGGAUCAAGAUUCAUGUUCAUGAAGAGAGCACCUAUGUGGGCCUAGUUUAUCCAAUCAGCCACAGAAGUGUCCUCAUCCUCACUCCUCGGCAUUGUCAGUCAGAUGGAGACAUUGUGUAGUGGAGAAGGAAAGACCAGACUAUGAUUGCCUUUCUGAGACCUGGUAGGACUAUGCAAGUGCCUGUGGAGGUGAAGUCUGUCUUGUACCAGCAGUAGUCCCCUUGUUUUAACCUAUCAGAGAGCCCAAUAAUCACAGGAUUCUUCAGAGAUUCUUCAGGAUUCUUCAUGUCCUUGAUGCCAUGCACAGACCUGCCUGUGACCAUAAACUCAAUAAGAGCUGAGACUGUGCCUUAUUUAUCUAGCACCUACACUGCCUUACGCAAGUCAACACUUAAUAAAUGUUUUUGAAAUGAAAUUGGUCAUCAUAAUAAUAGUGAACAUUUAUUUUAUUUUAUUUUAUUUUUUUGGUACUGGGGAUCGAACUAGGGACCUUACGCUUGCGAGGCAGGUGCCAGAACCACUGAGCUAAAUCUCCAGCCCCUUGAACAUUUAUUAAUUGCUCUCUGUAUGCCUGUCAUAUAGAACACACCCCAUGCCUUUAGCUGUCCCCAUGACCAUCUCAUUUGACAGAUGGGGAAACUGAGGCCUGAGGAGGUGAAACUGAUUUUCUUAGUGAUACAAACAGCAAGUGAUAGAGUUUUGAAGAGAAGAACAACUUCUGCCUUCACAUCCUGGGCCUUGUCUUUUAUACAGGUUGUUGGUAGCAAGCCCCUUACCAGAGCCUCUUUCUUUUCCUUCCUUUCAGCCUCCCCAAGGUUCCCAGUGGUGCUACUUUCCCCCCUGCUCCUUUCCCUGUCCUUUUUCUGAAGGGAGGAAAAAGUUUGCAGAACUUUUAUGUUGGAGCAGGGCCACCUGGGUCAUCAGAAAGAAGGGAAUGGAAUUAAUAGGAGAAAAUGAAGACAUGGAAACAAAGUCUUUGUAAAUAGGGAGGGGUGGAGGGGUUGAAGGGAAGGCAGGGGAAGGGUGAAAAAUAAGAAGCAAGAGAGAAUAU